UACAGAGGGGGCAAGCGUUGUUCGGAAUUACUGGGCGUAAAGGGCGCGUAGGCGGCCUGCUAAGUCGAACGUGAAAUCCCCGGGCUCAACCCGGGAACUGCGUCCGAUACUGGUGGGCUUGAAUCCGGGAGAGGGAUGUGGAAUUCCAGGUGUAGCGGUGAAAUGCGUAGAUAUCUGGAGGAACACCGGUGGCGAAGGCGGCAUCCUGGACCGGUAUUGACGCUGAGGCGCGAAAGCUAGGGGAGCAAACAGG
rnacentral:rRNA from 1 species